rnacentral:rRNA from 1 species
AUGGAAAAAUCUGGAGUGAAAACAAGGCCUUCAGAGCAGACAAUGCUACCUGUCGAAACAGAUCUUUUGUUGGGUCCCAAUAGCUCCUCAGAGAUGGAUUCAGAGACAGAUGACCAGUCCUAUUCCCCCACCGAGAGAAGGACUGAUUUGAAAACUCAGGAUAAGGUAACCUGUGCUAAUACCUCUGCUAUUUUCAAGAAUGCUUGGUGGUGGUAUCGGAAUUACCUGAAGAAAACAUACUUCACCGGCAAAGAAACUCAUCAAAUUCUCUUACAUUCUUCUAAGACACAUUUACUGGAUGAUGACUGGGAAUGCCUUGUUCUGUACUGA